UACGGAGGGUGCAAGCGUUGCUCGGAAUUACUGGGCGUAAAGCGCGUGUAGGCGGUUUCGUGUGUCUGAUGUGAAAUCCCCGGGCUCAACCCGGGAAGUGCAUUGGAAACUGCGAGACUAGAGUCCCGGAGAGGAAGGUGGAAUUCCGGGUGUAGCGGUGGAAUGCGUAGAGAUCCGGAAGAACACCGGAGGCGAAGGCGGCUUGCUGGGCUCGGUCUGACGCUGAGGCGCGAAAGCGUGGGGAGCGAACAGG
rnacentral:rRNA from 1 species